rnacentral:rRNA from 1 species
AGUGGCGCACGGGUGCGUAACGCGUAUGCAACCUACCUCUAACAGGGGGAUAGCACCGAGAAAUCGGUAUUAAUACCCCGUAGUAUCUUGAUAUGGCAUCAUAUCGGGAUUAAAGUUCCGGCGGUUAGAGAUGGGCAUGCGUGCCAUUAGCUAGUUGGUGAGGUAACGGCUCACCAAGGCAACGAUGGCUAGGGGUUCUGAGAGGAUUAUCCCCCACACUGGUACUGAGACACGGACCAGACUCCUACGGGAGGCAGCAGUAAGGAAUAUUGGGCAAUGGACGCAAGUCUGACCCAGCCAUGCCGCGUGCAGGAAGACGGCCUUAUGGGUUGUAAACUGCUUUUGUCAGGGAAUAAACCUGUUUACGAGUAGACAGCUGAAUGUACCUGAAGAAUAAGCAUCGGCUAACUCCGUGCCAGCAGCCGCGGUAAUACGGAGGAUGCAAGCGUUAUCCGGAUUCAUUGGGUUUAAAGGGUGCGCAGGCGGGCAAAUAAGUCAGGGGUGAAAUCCUACGGCUCAACCGUGGAACUGCCUUUGAUACUGUUAGUCUUGAGUAUAAUUGAAGUGGGCGGAAUGUAGCAUGUAGCGGUGAAAUGCAUAGAGAUGCUACAGAACACCGAUAGCGAAGGCAGCUCACUAAGUUAAUACUGACGCUCAUGCACGAAAGCGUGGGGAUCAAACAGGAUUAGAUACCCUGGUAGUCCACGCUGUAAACGAUGAUCACUCGUUGUUGGCGAUACACAGUCAGCGGCUAAGCGAAAGUGAUAAGUGAUCCACCUGGGGAGUACGAUCGCAAGGUUGAAACUCAAAGGAAUUGACGGGGGCCCGCACAAGCGGUGGAGCAUGUG